GUUGUUGCAGUUAGAACGCUCGUAGUCGGAUUUCGGGGCGGGCCGACCGGUCUGCCGAUGGGUACGCACUGGUCGGCGCGUCCUUCCUUCCGGAGACCGCCUCUGUUCUUAACUGAAUGGGUGCGGGAGACGGAUCGUUUACUUUGAAAAAAUCAGAGUGUUUCAAGCAGGCAGCUCGCUCUUGCAUGGAUUAGCAUGGGAUAAUGAAAUAGGACUUUGGUGCUAUUUUGUUGGUUUCGAACACCGAAGUAAUGAUUAAAAGGGACAGUCAGGGGCACUCGUAUUCCGCCGAGAGAGGUGAAAUUCUCAGACCAGCGGAAGACGAACCACUGCGAAAGCAUUUGCCAGGGAUGUUUUCACUGAUCAAGAACGAAAGUUAGGGGAUCGAAGAGGAUCAGAUACCCUCGUAGUCUUAACCAUAAACCAUGCCGACUAGGGAUUGGGGGAUGUUCACUGAUUGACUCCCUCAGCACCUUACGGGAAACUAAAGUCUUUGGGUUCCGGGGGGAGUAUGGUCGCAAGGCUGAAACUUAAAGGAAUUGACGGAAGGGCACCACCAGGUGUGGAGCCUGCGGCUUAAUUUGACUCAACACGGGGAAACUUACCAGGUCCAGACAUUGUGAGGAUUGGCAGAUUGAGAGCUCUUUCUUGAUUCGAUGGGUGGUGGUGCAUGGCCGUUCUUAGUUGGUGGAGUGAUUUGUCUGGUUAAUUCCGUUAACGAACGAGACCUUAGCCUG
rnacentral:rRNA from 1 species